UACGAAGGGUGCAAGCGUUACUCGGUAUUACUGGGCGUAAAGCGUGCGUAGGUGGUUUUUUAAGUCCGUUGUGAAAGCCCUGGGCUCAACCUGGGAAUGGCAGUGGAUACUGGAAAGCUAGAGUGCGGUAGAGGGUAGUGGAAUUCCCGGUGUAGCAGUGAAAUGCGUAGAGAUCGGGAGGAACACCAGUGGCGAAGGCGGCUACCUGGACCAGCACUGACACUGAGGCACGAAAGCGUGGGGAGCAAACAGG
rnacentral:rRNA from 1 species